CCUAUGGUGGACGAGAAAAACAACAAAUUUUUUCAAUGUGUAAACUGGUAAAGAAACGAAAAACGGCAACACGAAAGGAACAACUUCAGAACAGUUCUGGACCACACAGAUUAUCAUGGCAAUAACCUAUUGUAGAAGUGAAUACCUUUGGUAGAUAGCCAGUGAUGAGGAAGCCUUAUGACCAGUCACCGCCAUAAUCUGUGGUGCAGAAUGACCCUUUCCUAGGAUUGUAGCACCAGUCACACGUACAGAGUGGUUGGUGUAUACGGCAGAUAGUGGAACAGCUUUGCUAAGCUUCUGCAUGAAUUCACUUAAGACAUUUCGGCCAAUUGGACGAUUCUGGUACCAGACAUCAUCAGAUUCCAAGAAUACUUCUCUAGGGUACUGCCACAGCCUAUCAGUAUUGGGAUUCAAUUUACCGACAUAUUUCAGGAAAUUGUUCACUGGACAGUUGUCAGUAUUUACAUUGUCUGCCGGCAUGUGCCCUGUUACAAGGGUCUUAUCAUUCUCUUUGUGAUUCUUGGUGGAUUCAUCCUCUGCCUUAUAUAUAUACCUUUCACCAUUUGGAUACUGGCCAAGCUUGAAAGUUGACUUUGUCAUUUUUUCCAUAUUUUCAUUUGCCCUCCGGCAGAAAUACAACCUGAUGUUCAUUUGGCACCGGUUUAAUAAACCUUGCGGAGUGGUAGGUGACAGGUGGACACUCAUAUAUAACCGUGUUAAAUCGACAUUUGAUAUCAGCGCGUAGUGGUCGGUAGAACCUUUUCCGUGAACUUUAAGUUCACGGAGUGCAGUUUUGUACGACUCAUUGGCUUUAUUGAAUUCAUUUCCGGUGAUGAUAUCUAUAUCUCUUGACACUGGGGGUGCUUUAAGAUACCUGUUUAGGCUGUGCCUUAUGUUUUCCAAGGUACUUGUCUUGUACAAUUCACCUUUUUUUGUUCUGGCAUCUAAGUAAAAUGUUGACAGAACAUCAGCUAGUUCUUCUGUAGAAUAGCUCUCAAAAUUUACAUUCAUAUCUUUUUCUUUAAGGUAAAUCCUUAAUGUUUCUGCAGCCAUUUUGUUCAUUUUUAAUGUAUUAUCUGGAGUAUAUUUCACUCUCUUUUCUUGAACAUCUUCUUUCGAGUGAGCACCAAAGCGUUUCAUAUUGAACUAAAUUAAAGUGAUUUUGAUACUAAAUGGUAUGAGUUACAAUAAUAUAUUUAUUUGCUUCAAGAAGAAUGAUAUUUGGUUAUACUCUCUGUAAAUAAGAAAUGAAGCAGUAUAUAUAUAUAUAUUUUUUAAGUAGAAGUUUAUUGAGCCGUGCCAUGAGAAAACCAACAUAGUGGGUUUGCGACUAGCAUGGAUCCAGACCAGCCUGCGCAUCUGGCCAGGAGCCAUGCUAUUCGCUUUCAAAGCCUAUUGGAAUUGGAGAAACUGUUAGCGAACAGCAUGGAUCCUGACCAGACUGCGCGGAUGCGCAAGAUGGUAUGGAUCAAAUUACUGGUCGCAAACCUACUAUGUUGGUUUUCUCAUGGCGCGGCUCAUUUAUUAUAUCAUAUAAUUAUGUUGUUAUAAUAUUCAUCAACUGUUGGUUAUUUUUAUUGUAAUAAAAGAAAUAGUAAUGUUUUAAGCGACAUAUUCAGUUACUUGAGAAACAUUGUCGUCAAACUUUCGACAGUCAAAAUUAAUUUAUUUUUUUGUUAUUUCAAUUUUCACUUGAUUUUCUAAUUAUUAUCCUUUAGUUAACUGUUUACUACUAAUUUUGAAAUUAAUAUAAUGUGGGCAUGUCCCUUUACCUUUACCAUGCUGGACACAAUAUAUAUAAAUGUGUUUGCAGCAAGUGUAGGUCAUGACCAGCAUGUACAUCUGUGAAGGCUGAUCAUGAUCUGCACUCUUCUGUUUGUAUCUUAAGACUUUUGGUAAGCACCCCUUUAAAUACAAUAGUUAAUGGUACUGUCCAAAUUGAAAGAUAGAUAAAUGCAUUCUAGAAAUUCAGCAGGGUAAAGGUUAGAGGCAUUUAUUCACAUUUAAAUAAUUUAUGCUAGAAUAGCGUUAGCGCACAUUCUUUUCGUGUUAUAAAUUCUUCAGAAUCCCUCGGGUAUUGUUGGUACUCUUGCCCUAAUGGGCUUGGGUACCAACUAAUUCCUCGGAAUUCUGCAGAUGUAAUAACUUUAAAAAAAAACAUGUGUUAUCCCUAUGUAGAGUUUGAUCUAGAUAUUUGGUUCAUGUGUGAGUGUUAAUCCCUUUAUUAUUUUAUUAAGUUGUGAAUUAUGUAUUGUAAACAACUUUAAAUGUCAAUGCACUGCAGUGCAGGGUCCCCAGUGCAGGUCUGUUACCUAGGAAAAUAUUAGGCAACUUAGGCAAUUGAUACCCUCCCCCCCCCCCCCCCCCACACAUUUUGAUAAUGUUUUGUUUAGAUCUUUUUUAUAAUCUAAAGUGUAAAUUGGCUUUUUAUGCAUUUGGUUUUGAUUAUUUUUAAUGACAUAUGUAAAAAAGAAAUAAAUUUGUCAAAUCAUA